AUCUAGAGUUAAAAUUAAAUCUUAUACAUAUCAAUGUUACGUGAGUAACAAAGAUGAGAGGUAGAAAUAGCCAUGCAGGACGCAUUGUGGCAAAUUAUUAAAGAAACAUUCAGCAGAAUUUCAUGUUUUUAUAAAUUUAGAAGUAAACUGAGAAAAAUGAAGGAAUGGAACUGUAUAGCUGACCAUAAUUAGACUGGAUAAGGAUUUCUUGAGUUGAGGAAGGUAAAGGAGGCAAAAAACGAAAACAUUUCAUAUUUCUGGAGAUGAGUAAACAGAA
rnacentral:misc_RNA from 1 species